GACGAACGCUGGCGGCGUGCCUAAUACAUGCAAGUAGAACGCUGAAGGAGGAGCUUGCUUCUCCGGAUGAGUUGCGAACGGGUGAGUAACGCGUAGGUAACCUGCCUGGUAGCGGGGGAUAACUAUUGGAAACGAUAGCUAAUACCGCAUAACAGUAGAUAUUGCAUGAUAUCUGCUUGAAGGGUGCAAUUGCAUCACUACCAGAUGGACCUGCGUUGUAUUAGCUAGUUGGUGAGGUAACGGCUCACCAAGGCAACGGUACAUAGCCGACCUGAGAGGGUGAUCGGCCACACUGGGACUGAGACACGGCCCAGACUCCUACGGGAGGCAGCAGUAGGGAAUCUUCGGCAAUGGACGGAAGUCUGACUGAGCAACGCCGCGUGAGUGAAGGAGGUUUUCGGAUCGUAAAGCUCUGUUGUAAGAGAAGAACGAGUGCGAGAGUGGAAAGUUUACACUGUGACGGUAUCUUACCAGAAAGGGACGGCUAACUACGUGC
rnacentral:rRNA from 1 species